rnacentral:sRNA from 1 species
UGAUUCCGUGGGAUACCGAUCGUAAGC